rnacentral:rRNA from 1 species
AGAGUUUGAUCCUGGCUCAGAAUCAACGCUGGCGGCGUGCCUAACACAUGCAAGUCGCACGAGAAAGGGGAGCAAUCCCUGAGUAUAGUGGCGCACGGGUGAGUAACACGUGACUAACCUACCCUCGAGUGGGGAAUAACCUAGGGAAACCUGGGCUAAUACCGCAUAACACUUACGAGUCAAAGCAGCAAUGCGCUUGGGGAGGGGGUCGCGGCCGAUUAGCUAGUUGGCGGGGUAAUGGCCCACCAAGGCAAUGAUCGGUAUCCGGCCUGAGAGGGCGCACGGACACACUGGAACUGAAACACGGUCCAGACUCCUACGGGAGGCAGCAGUGGGGAAUUUUGCGCAAUGGGGGAAACCCUGACGCAGCAACGCCGCGUGGAGGAUGAAGUCUCUUGGGACGUAAACUCCUUUCGAUCGGGAAGAUAAUGACGGUACCGAUAGAAGAAGCCCCGGCUAACUUCGUGCCAGCAGCCGCGGUAAUACGAGGGGGGCAAGCGUUGUUCGGAAUUAUUGGGCGUAAAGGGUGCGUAGGCGGUCUGGUAAGUCUUGUGUGAAAUCUUCAGGCUCAACCUGAAGUCUGCAUGAGAAACUGCCGGGCUUGAGUAUGGGAGAGGUGAGUGGAAUUUCCGGUGUAGCGGUGAAAUGCGUAGAUAUCGGAAGGAACACCUGUGGCGAAAGCGGCUCACUGGACCAUUACUGACG